UGGGGAAUAUUGCGCAAUGGGGGAAACCCUGACGCAGCGACGCCGCGUGAGCGAAGAAGGCCUUAGGGUUGUAAAGCUCUGUUUUAGGGGACGAAUGUCGUGGGGAGUAAUAUGACCUACGAAUGACGGUACCCUAAGAGGAAGCCCCGGCUAACUACGUGCCAGCAGCCGCGGUAAGACGUAGGGGGCGAGCGUUGUCCGGAAUUACUGGGCGUAAAGAGCACGUAGGCGGGAACCUAAGUCAGGUGUGAAAGACCGUGGCUCAACCACGGGGUGGCAUUUGAAACUGGGUUUCUUGAGGGCAGGAGAGGAAAGCAGAAUUCCUGGUGUAGCGGUGAAAUGCGUAGAAAUCAGGAGGAAUACCAGUGGCGAAGGCGGCUUUCUGGACUGACCCUGACGCUGAGGUGCGAAAGCGUGGGUAGCAAACAGG
rnacentral:rRNA from 3 species